rnacentral:tRNA from 1 species
AGGCAGUUAGUCCAACAAAGACCUUUGAUUUCGACUCAAAAAAUCAUGACUCACUCAUGGCUGCCUU